rnacentral:rRNA from 1 species
GACGAACGCUGGCGGCGUGCCUAAUACAUGCAAGUCGAACGAGAGCGACCGGUGCUUGCACUGGUCAAUCUAGUGGCGAACGGGUGAGUAACACGUGGGUAACCUGCCCAUCAGAGGGGGAUAACAUCCGGAAACGGAUGCUAAAACCGCAUAGGUCUUCGAACCGCAUGGUUUGAAGAGGAAAAGAGGCGCAAGCUUCUGCUGAUGGAUGGACCCGCGGUGCAUUAGCUAGUUGGUGAGGUAACGACUCACCAAGGCCGUGAUGCAUAGCCGACCUGAGAGGGGGAUCGGCCACAUUGGGACUGAGACGCGGCCCAAACUCCUACGGGAGGCAGCAGUAGGGAAUCUUCCGCAAUGGACGCAAGUCUGACGGAGCAACGCCGCGUGAGUGAAGAAGGUUUUCGGAUCGUAAAACUCUGUUGUUAGAGAAGAACAAGUGCUAGAGUAACUGUUAGCGCCUUGACGGUAUCUAACCAGAAAGCCACGGCUAACUACGUG